rnacentral:rRNA from 1 species
AACGAACGCUGGCGGCAGGCUUAACACAUGCAAGUCGAACGGUUGUAGCAAUACAGCAGUGGCAGACGGGUGAGUAACACGUGGGAACCUUCCUAGGGGUACGGAACAACUCAGGGAAACUUGAGCUAAUACCGUAUACGUCCGUGAGGAGAAAGUUUUAACGCCCCUAGACGGGCCCGCGUAGGAUUAGGUAGUUGGUGAGGUAACGGCUCACCAAGCCUACGAUCCUUAGCUGAUCUGAGAGGANGAUCAGCCACACUGGACUGAGACACGGCCCAGACUCCUACGGGAGGCAGCAGUGGGAAUAUUGGACAAUGGGCGAAAGCCUGAUCCAGCCAUGCCGCGUGGGUGAAGAAGGCCCUAGGGUUGUAAACCCCUUUCAGCGGGGAAGAUAAUGACGGUACCCGCAGAAGAAGUCCCGGCUAACUCCGUGCCAGCAGCCGCAGUAAG